rnacentral:rRNA from 1 species
UACGUAGGGUGCAAGCGUUAUCCGGAAUUAUUGGGCGUAAAGAGCUCGUAGGCGGUUUGUCACGUCUGCUGUGAAAACUGGAGGCUCAACCUCCAGCCUGCAGUGGGUACGGGCAGACUAGAGUGCGGUAGGGGAGAUUGGAAUUCCUGGUGUAGCGGUGGAAUGUGCAGAUAUCAGGAGGAAAACCGAAGGCGAAGGCAGAACUCUGGGGCGGAACCUACGGUUAGGAGCGAAAGCAAGGGGAGCGAACAGG